rnacentral:rRNA from 1 species
ACUAAAAGGCGCGGUAUUUUGACCGUGCGAAGGUAGCAUAAUCAUUAUUCUUUUAAUUGAAGGCUUGUAUGAAGGGUUGGACGAGAAAUUAGCUGUCUUUAUAGGAGAAAUAAAAUUUAACUUUUAAGUGAGAGGGCUUAAAUACUCUAAAGGGACGAUAAGACCCUAUAAAGUUUGACACUUUAUCUUUUGUUGAAUGAGUCAGAAUAAUUAAAGUUUAUCAGGAGCAAGGUGUUUUGUUGGGGCGACAAGAAUAUAAAUAAUUUAACUGUUUUUAUGUAGUUACAAAGAUAAUUGAAUUUAUGGUCCUUAUUAAAGAGUGAAGAGUAAAUUACUUUAGGGAUAACAGCGUAAUUUUUUUUGAGAGUUCAUAUCGACAAAAAAGUUUGCGACCUCGAUGUUGAAUUAAAGGUUCUUUGUAAUGUAGCAGUUACAGAAGAGGGUCUGUUCGACCUUUAAAUCUUUACAUGAUUUGAGUUCAAACCGGCGUCAG